UUUGGAGAUGUGAACUUUGGGAGGUAAUUAGGUUCAGAAGAGGAGGGUGGGGCCCUUGUGAAGGGAUUAGUGACCUUAUAAAGAUAUCAGGGAGCUUGCUACCCUUCUCUCUCUGCCAUGACAGGACAUAGUGAGAAAGAGGCCAUCUGCAAGCUAGGAAGUAAAGGGCCCCAGAACCUGAACCCUGCCAGAACUUGGUCGUGGACCUUCCAGUCUCCAGAAAAACUGGACUGUCUAUUUUAAAGAGAAGCAUUCCCAACGUUUGGUCUAACUACAUAGAUGAAUUAUCUGAAUUAAAGUAACAUUUACAGAUGAGUGUCUGGGACACUUCAUUGGAGUCCUUUCGGAGAAGAUUUAAUGAAAUGAAGUGCCAGUUUUAAAAUCAAGUUACACUGCACAUGAUACAAUUGUCUUCCUAUAAGCGCUAAUGAAUAAGAUCAGAUAGAAAGAAUUUCAGUGGAACCUUUUAUCUUCUAUCACAUUGACUGCUCCUUAUAAUUUAAUUUCCCUUUAUUUCAGUCCCACAUAAAAUGAAGAAUUCCAUUGUCUGCUUAGCUGCCAUUUCUCUAGAUAUUUGAAAUGUAUUUAAUUAUACAAGGUCACAUCUGAAGAGAUAAAACUCUCUGGAGAGAAUGUAAAUGAACUUUCCCCUAUUGGAUCACUUAUGAAUUCUUUAUUACCCGAGAAUUACAUGAUAAUAUCCUAAAGUGACACGAAAUGUCUUACUUCUUAUCUUGCCUAUUCCUGGAAUAAAACUGGAAUAUUAAGAUGGA